rnacentral:rRNA from 1 species
GGGGCAUAAGCGCAUGCUUACCAUGCAGUCGAACGAUGAAGCCGAGCUUGCUUGGUGGAUUAGUGGCGAACGGGUGAGUAACACGUGAGCAACCUGCCCUGGACUCUGGGAUAAGCGCUGGAAACGGUGUCUAAUACUGGAUAUGAGCUUUCACCGCAUGGUGGGGGUUGGAAAGAUUUUUCGGUCUGGGAUGGGCCUCGCGGGCCCUAUUCAGGCUUGUUGGGUGAGGUAAAUGGCUUACCCAAGGCGUUCGACCGGGUAGCCCGGCCCUGAGAAGGGUGACCCGGCCCACACUGGGGACUGGAGACACGGGCCCCAGACUCCUUACGGGAAGGCAGCCAGUGGGGAAAUAUUGCCACAAUGGGCGGAAAGCCUGAUGCAGCAACGCCCGCGUGAAGGGAUGACGGCCUUUCGGGUUGUAAACCUUCUUUUAGCAGGGAAGAAGCGUGAGUGACGGUACCUGCAGAAAAAAGCGCCGGGCUAACUACGUGCCAGCAGCCGCGGUAAUACGUAGGGCGCAAGCGUUAUCCGGAAUUAUUGGGCGUAAAGAGCUCGUAGGCGGUUUGUCGCGUCUGCUGUGAAAACCCGAGGCUCAACCUCGGGCCUGCAGUGGGUACGGGCAGACUAGAGUGCGGUAGGGGAGAUUGGAAUUCCUGGUGUAGCGGUGGAAUGCGCAGAUAUCAGGAGGAACACCGAUGGCGAAGGCAGAUCUCUGGGCCGUAACUGACGCUGAGGAGCGAAAGGGUGGGGAGCAAACAGGCUUAGAUACCCUGGUAGUCCACCCCGUAAACGUUGGGAACUAGUUGUGGGGUCCUUUCCACGGAUUCCGUGACGCAGCUAACGCAUUAAGUUCCCCGCCUGGGGAGUACGGCCGCAAGGCUAAAAACUCAAAGGAAUUGACGGGGGACCCGCACAAGCGGCGGGAGCAUGCGGGAUUAAUUUCGAUGCAACGCGAAAGAACCUUACCAAGGGCUUGACAUACACGAGAAACACUCUGGAAAACAGGGGGACUCUUUGGGACACUCGUGAAACAGGUGGGUGCAUGGGUUGUCGUCCGCCUCGUGUCCGUGAAGAUGUUUGGGUUUAAGUCCCCGGCAACGAAGCGCAAACCCUUCGUUUCUAUGUUUGCCCAGCAACGUUAAUGGGUGGGAAACUCCAUGGGGAAUACUGGCCGGGGGUCCAACUUCGGAAGGAAAGGUGGGGAUGACGUCAAAUCAUCAUGCCCCUUAUGUCUUGGGCUUCACGCAUGCUACAAUGGCCGGUACAAAGGGCUGCAAUACCGUGAGGUGGAGCGAAUCCCAAAAAGCCGGUCCCAGUUCGGAUUGAGGUCUGCAACUCGACCUCAUGAAGUCGGAGUCGCUAGUAAUCGCAGAUCAGCAACGCUGCGGUGAAUACGUUCCCGGGUCUUGUACACACCGCCCGUCAAGUCAUGAAAGUCGGUAACACCUGAAGCCGGGGCCUAACCCUUGGGAGGAGCCGAUGUAUAUGUAUGCGACAUCCCCA